rnacentral:tRNA from 1 species
UGGGCUGAUGCCUGUUGGUUUGGGCGAUCGGCUGUUAACCGGUGUGUUGUGGGGUCGAAGCCCACCAGCCCUG